rnacentral:rRNA from 1 species
AUUUUAGUUUCUAAAGCUAGAAUAAUUGGAAUGAGAAAAAGAUAAAAGUAAUAUCGAGUAACAAAUGGAGGGAAAAUUUGGUGCCAGCAGCCGCGGUAAUACCAGUUCCAUAAGUGUAUAUUAAAGUUGUUGCAGUUGAAAAGCUCGUAGUUGGAAUGGAGUUGUUGUGGGUCGGUGAUGUGGGCGAAAGUUCAUGUUGCUGGCACAUGGCAGCUGAUAUAAGGCAUGUAUUGUGGGCAUUCAUUGAUUUGGGUGUUCAUCAGCAGUAUAUGCAUUUUACUAUUAAAAAAUUAGAAAGUUUCAAUUAGAUUGUAAUUGGAUUUUUGAAUAGUCGAAGAAUGGUAUAAUAGAAUAGGAUUUUGGGAUCAGUUUGGAAUGUUAGAUGAUUCUAGAGUAAUGAUUAAUAGAGAUAGAUGGAGAUAUUUGUAUUUGAUGGCUAGAGGUGAAAUUCUUGGAUUCUUCAAAGACAAACUAAAGCGAAAGCAUUUAUCAAGUAUAUGCUCGUUAAUCAAGAACUAAAGUAAAGGGAUCAAAGAUGAUUAGAUACCGUCGUAGUCUUUACUAUAAACUAUGCCGAUUAGGGAUCUAUUUUAUUACGUAUUUUAUGUAGGUUGAAAUAGGAACCUUGUGAGAAAUCAUAAAUGUUUGGGUUCUGGGGGAAGUACGAGACGCAAGAUUGAAACUUAAAGGAAUUGACGGAAGAGCACCACAAGGAGUGGAUUUUGCGGCUCAAUUUGACCCAACACGGGGAAACUUACUAGGGUAGGACACACGAAGGAUUGACAGAUUGAUGGUUCUUUCGAGAUUGUGUGGAAGGUGGUGCAUGGCCGUUUUCAGUUCGUGGUUUGAGUUGGCUGGUUAAUUCCGAUAACGAACGAGAUUUCAUUUCUUAACUAAACCUGUUCUUUACUAGGGCUUCGGCUCUAGAGAAGGAUGGACAAAAGGUUUACUUAAGAAGACGAGAGAGGAAAACUCUUUGGAAGCGUGAAGCCGAACAGGUCUGUAUGCCCUUAGAUAUCCUAGGAUGCACGCGCGAUACAAUGACUAGGGCAGUGAGUAAAGGAUGGGCGAGCCUUCGGGUGAGUUCAUUGAAUCAUGUUUGAGAGGACAUGAUAAUCUUUUGAAACCUAGUCAAAUUUGGGAUAAAAGAUUGUAAUUAUUCUUUUUGAACGAGGAACUCCUAGUAAUUCUAAGUCAACAGCUUGGGAUGAAUGCGUCCCUGCUUUUUGUACACACCGCCCGUCGCUGCAUCUGAUUGAUUUAUAGAUUGAAAUGAUUGGAUUUUGGAUAUCUCUUCUUGGGAUAGAGAAAGAUGUUCAGUGAAUUCUAUAAGUUAGA